AUGAAGAACGUAGCGAAAUGCGAUAAGUAAUGUGAAUUGCAGAAUUCAGUGAAUCAUCGAGUCUUUGAACGCACAUUGCGCCCCCUGGUAUUCCGGGGGGCAUGCCUGUCCGAGCGUCAUUGCCGCCCUCAAGCACGGCUUGUGUGUUGGGCCCCCGCCCCCCGGCUUCGGGGGGCGGGCCCGAAAGGCAGCGGCGGCACCGCGUCCGGUCCUCGAGCGUAUGGGGCUUCGUCACCCGCUCUGUAGGCCCGGCCGGCGCCCGCCGGCGACCCCAAUCAAUCUUUCCAGGUUGACCUCGGAUCAGGUAGGAAUACCCGCUGAACUUAAGCAUAUCAAUAAGCGGAGGA
rnacentral:misc_RNA from 1 species